rnacentral:rRNA from 1 species
GCAGCUACUGUUAUCAACCUGCAGUUUCCCACUGGAGCUUAGCAGGUGUGAGCCUGGUCAGUACCUGGGUGGGAGACCUCCUGGGAAAGCUAGGGUUGUUGCUGAA